UAACACUUAGAAAUAGGUGCUAAUACCGCAUAAGCGCACAGCUUCACAUGAGGCAGUGUGAAAAACUACCGGUGGUACAGGAUGGUCCCGCGUCUGAUUAGCCAGUUGGCAGGGUGACGGCCUACCAAAGCGACGAUCAGUAGCCGGCCUGAGAGGGUGAACGGCCACAUUGGGACUGAGACACGGCCCAAACUCCUACGGGAGGCAGCAUG
rnacentral:rRNA from 1 species